ACAUCAGACAAAGUCCACCUCACAUGUACAGAAUUAUCAUACAAACGUCAUAAAAAGUAUAAGAGUUAUUUGUAUUACAAUUGGCAAACCCAUUACUCGUUGCUUGUCAAGCAAAUACAACAAUGAACAGAAAAGAAAAAAAAUGAGAAAUUGUGCGUUUGUUUUACUCCCCUGGUUAUUAAGGCCUUCCUCUUCAACCCACUACAUCCCGGGUUCAAACCCUCCUUCCUCCACUUAGGCAAGAGAGUAUUUUCAUACACCAGUGGUUGAUUUGGCUCAAGUAUGUGUUGUACCAUCUACUCUCAUAGUGAAGAACAAAUUUCUGUUCCAUGCGCAUAGGUAGGAUAUUUCUCAAAAAGUUGGGUAUUUCCAUGUGCCCCUUAAGAGUAGUAAUCUACCACAAGUUUCCUAACCAUGUAAAUAUUGUGUGCACUGCGCACACCUUUCCUCCUAAACUAUUUAUUCACUUCCAUUGUGGCUUGUUAUUUACGAAUCUCUUAUGUAGUAUGUACCAAUAAAUCCCAACACCAAAGGUGUGCCUUAGUGUAACGGUAUGGUCUACCCCAAGAAACCUGCCGGUGAUAGGGCUAAGCAUGCCCAACCAACUUUUCUUGAAAUUAAUAGUAGAAAGUAGCUUCGUAAAAUAAUUUUACACUGAGCAUUUCAGAUAUUGAUCUUGAGAAAGAAAGAAUGUUCACUAGUUAGAGACAACCAUACUUCCCUCACCACAAAACAUAAGUUUUACUUGUUUAGAAUUAGUAUGACUCAAGUAAAUGUUGCCAAUAAUUUUAUUCACAAAAUGUGUUGCUGAUGAAGGCUGCACCUUUUCAAACAACUGCGUACCUUGUACUUUGUUACGAGUGUAAAAGAUAAUCACAUAACAUG